rnacentral:rRNA from 1 species
UACAGAGGGUGCGAGCGUUGUUCGGAAUUACUGGGCGUAAAGCGCGCGCAGGCGGCUCUUUAAGUCUGACGGUGAAAUGCCGGGGCUCAACCCCGUGCCCGCCGGAGAUACUGGGGAGCUGGAGACGAGUAGAGGCAAGCGGAAUUCCGGGUGUAGCGGUGGAAUGCGUAGAGAUCCGGAAGAACACCGGAGGCGAAGGCGGCUUGCUGGGCUCGGUCUGACGCUGAGGCGCGAAAGCGUGGGGAGCAAACAGG